UUAAGGAAGACAUCUCACAGAAGGUUUUACUACCAAGCAAGAAAACGCUGUAUGGGAUUACGUAUGUCAAGUGAGAGCUGCAUGUCUUUUCUCCAGCUCUGCCAGCAGCUGAGCUGCAAACCGCUUGGGAGGAAGAGGACAAGGGAUUGCCAUUAAAAACACAUCGGAUUGCAAGGAAUCUGGAGAGUUGUCAUGGGGACACAGUUUUCUUGGGAUCAAGAGGCACGGUCUGCGGACAGGUAGAAUCCCCACUCGUGUGUGUGAAGCAGCAUGUGCCGUGACAUUGUGCAGCCACACAACAGCAGAGCUCUGAGUGCCAGCUGCUGGGAGCUGCCAUGGAGCUGCCUGCACCCAGCAGGUUUAUCAUAUGCUCGGCUCAUCCAUCUGUGUCUCAGUCUCCGGUGGACUCAUGAGUUUCAUCAAGAAAACCAUUUUCAAACCAGCAGACCAAAACAGAUCGUUUUCGACUCCCAGCCUCAUCGAGGCUUUGCAGUAGUUUUGCCUCGUGUUUACGAUUUAUGGAUGCAACAGAAACACAGAGCAGGCGGGAGUGGUCCAGAGAUUUCCCCAUUGCAGGGCUGUGAGAGCUUCCACAUUGGAGUUUCAUCUGGGGGAGUAACGCAUCCUCUGGGCACUGCAGGUUGAAGAACAUCACCAGCUCAGCUCUGGGCAAUUUCCACGGUGAAGUCACGAAUCCGCUCUGACUGAAGCCCAGUUCUGCAUCACUCCCAUCAGUCUGGGGCUUUAUAGCAGAUUUUGCUGCAAAUGUAAAAGUGGAGCAGAGAUCUGUGGGCUUUGCAUUCCGAGGGGCUGACUUUGGAAUAGAUGAGUGCAUGCUUGGUUGGCUUCAGGGAACCAAGCAAUAAUCUCAACCAGUCACCUCGCAAGAAAAAUUAGCAAGCAGAUGUUUCAUUACAAAAGGAACUAAUGGUAACUGAUGGCAUUAAAGAAUUCUCUUUCACCAAAGGAACUUCAGCUCUGUGACAAAGAGCUGUUGCUGACGCACUUUAAUUAAAAUGGAAGGCUGGCCUGAAGAUUUCUUCCAUUUUAAUACGCAGCAACAACAAGAUGGAAGUGAAAAAGCGUGGGUAAGUUGGGAGGAGAAGGGAGAAAUAAAUGCUGUCUGUACUGCUGAAAAUUUGCGCCUACGUUAAUUCUUGGAGACAAAUUCAAUUUCACUGGCUUCAGAAUCCCGGCAGGUUACUCUGGAAAAUGUCCUACCUUAGAAAUUCUUUCAAGGUACAGAUCCAUUGGAAGUGCUCUUGUAAUUACUGUUAUGUUGUCGCCUCUACACUGGAGCAUGGGACUGUGCUCACAUCAUCAUUCAUCUUGCUGUACAUUCAGCAGUGUCUCCAUGUUAAUUAAAGACUAUUUCUAGUUAUCUCACGGUUGUUUUAUUUUUUCCCUCCAGCACUGUCUAUAGUAAACUAGAUGUGAAUCAAAAUAAAGCCAUUGCUGUACUUCAAGCCUUAUUUUUCUCCUUAGGAAUGGAAAUCUCUUACUGGCUUUAACUCCAGUAGUGAUGCUGUUGAAGCCAGAUUUUAUGGGACUCCUGUAUCGCAGUUUCUUGCUAUGAAUGUCCCAAAGAUAUUUUACAUGUUCUAGUCUGUGUUUUAUUCCAUUUUUCCACAUUUGCAACUGUCUGGUUCUCAGUCUGCCACACUCCCUAUCUAGGGACAUACUCUUUAAGUUAAUGCCCUUGUUGAUGAGGGCCUAGUCCUCAGAAAAAAAGGCUGCGCAAUGAGUUAGGAGCAGUGGUAACAGCGCUGAAUUGUAGGAUUUCAGACCCAUGGGAUGUGAAGGUAGUUGGAUUGUCUGUAUUUUGGGGGGAAAAAUGUAUCUUGCAAACUCUGGUGUUAGCAGGAAUUAAAAGUGUUUACGCGAUGUGGCUACAGAAGCUAUUUCCAUAAACGAUCAAUGACCUCCUCUAACUCUAACAGUAUUGGAGCCAAGCAGCAUCACUGGAGACUUUCAAAAAGGUCAGCAAUAAGCAAUUAAGAUAAUGUAAUCCCAGCUGGCCCACUAGAACCAUACCUAUGCAAGAAGAUUUUAGGGAAAUUUCUUUGAAUUUUCUCCUUCUAUGACCACUCCAGUUCCAUGGCAAGCCUCCUGGCUCAUUUCUGCGCUGUGUUUGCAGAAAACCCCAAUGUGGCACAGCAAAGCCAAUUUCCCCACUGAACUGAAUGCAGAAAGCUCAGCUCUGGGGGUCUGGAGGUGCGACCAGGCAGCAAAGGAAAGCAGCACUGAGCACUGCCCUGUGCCCCCAUCUCCUCUUCCAUCCUAGGAGCUGAGAUGUCCACUGGGAAGUGCACACAGUGCUUCCAUAAGGUAGAGCAUAAAGUUACAUGGGCUAGAACUGCUUUUUUGUUUUUAUUUGCCUUACAGCUGCUAUGUGGAGAGCUAGUGCUGGUGGAAACCUACGUCAUAAUGGGUGUUGUAUGAAUAAUACAAAGCCAUUGUAAAUGCACUAGAUGAAUAUAAAUGUGCAGUUUUUGAAAGUUUCUUGAUCAAAAGAGCUUAUCCAUAAAGCAUUGCAGAAGGGUUUCCGUUGAUUUAGUGGGUAAUACAUAGGAUUUAUAUAAAUGUUGAUAUGUAUAGUUUGGUCUGAAGCCAAAGGUUUCUCCAGAAUGCACGGUGAAACAGAACAAGCCCUCAGCUGUAGGCAGAAAACAUAUGAUUUCCUAAAAUGAGAGAUUUAGCAAUAAAAGCACCUAAAUACAAAAUAACUCUCCCUUUCAUGUUAGAAUAGUAAUGAUAAAGAUUUUAAAAUAAAAAUGGGUGCAGAAACCAGCACGAUCAGUGAAAAAAAUGCUUCAGAAGUGAUUAUUAUUUUUUAAGAAGGUCUUUACAAGUAGGUGUUUUUACAUGCAAAUACAAACGUCAAAUGACAUUAAAAGAGCUGAGUUUCCUCCAAUUCCUCACAAAUUUCAUGUUUUUUUUUAAAGGAAAUGGUAUCGAUGUCAUAAUGUCACGAGUCGCAGUGAUUUCCCUACAGCAGUUGUGCUUGGUGGCUGAUAACCAGCAACGUAGCAAGGUGGUACAAUCACGGUCAGAGAAUGGAAGUGCCACGCAAAACAUCUGCCCAAAUCACACCCAUUUAUACUCUGUAAUCUUUGAGCCAUGAUCUAGAAGACUGCUGAUAAUCCGGGAAUAAAUACGUAUCUUUCACACAACAUUAACUGACUUUCUUCUAGCUUGUCAAGCAGCUUUGGGGUUUAUUAUGUGUUUAUUGUAUGCCUCACCAGAUUCUAUUCAGGGGACUGCAUAUUUAUUUUUACCUUCUGUCUUUGGGCAUUGAACUUCAGUUAGCAAAGCACAGUUAAUCAUGGAUCUUAGUGCUACAAGGCUGCACAUGUCAUACGUUAUUUGAAACAGAGGGAUACGGGGGACCCAGAUUGCCAACACGAGCACAUCCAGGAAUCGGCUGAAGGAACUGGAGAUCUUCUGCUUUGGGUUUUGUUUCUUUGUUUUUGCUCGGUUUGUUUUCUUCCUAAAUUCUGUCUUUUGAUCCCCCUUUGCAAACCAGGGUUAACUGUGGCAUACAACAACAUUUACUGGUGUAGCCAUUUAUAGCAUUUCUCCUGCAGAAGUCACAGUGAAGGCAGACAUAUGGACACAUGGCAUGCAUACAAGAGCUGGAUACAACACUUUAUCAUAUGGAGAGCAUUUUAAAAAGGCUUCUGCCAGAACCAUGGUUGCCCAUUUGUGCAGAGGUUGGGAGCAGGAGGGGACUGAACUCGGUGGAGCAGAUGGGAGGAGCCGUCCCUGGAAAGCUUCAGCUGCUGGAGACAUUUCAGUUCCCUUCCUUCCUCCCCAGACACCUCACCAGACUAAUGACACCCAAUUAACUCCAGAGAUGUCCUCCUGCAGAAAGAAAAAGCAGCUGCAAAGCAAGACUUGUGUGGAGAAUGGGAACGGGAGCAGCUCCAGCUAGUGAGAAUGGAGAUGUUUUUAUGACAUCUGGUGGUCAUAAAUUCACAGCCACUGGAAGUGGAAAUGGCAAUUGGAAACCUCCUGGAGAAAAUUCUACUUUGUAAGACAUACCUAAUCUUUUAGUAUGACAGAAAAUGUUACUUGCAUACUGAUUUAAUAGAUACCACAAAACGAAGACGAAGCAAAACGAGCUAGCAAGCCAAGCCAAAUCACCAGGCCAAGUCAAGAGGAUAAUUUAUAUGAAACAACGUUCCAGUCGGUGUGAAUGCACACCAGGUUCUCCUGUCUUUCAUCUCAUGCUAGCUGAGCCACUUUGAGAGAGAAAACAAAAUCAUUCUCAGACUUGUUCUUAGCUGCUUACCACCAGUGUUAGAGGCAGCACAGUACCUCUUGUGUUUCGUUUCCUACUGUAUAUUUAAUGAAACAGCACACUGAAAUCACAGCUUUGAUAUUGGACUGGGUAUUUCAGAGCCAAAUUCUCUUCUCCUGCCAUUUAAACACAGGUAUAAAAUAUUCAGAGCAGAGAGCCCGUUUCUGCAUGAAUGUCAGAGCAAAGAGCUGCUUUGGCACCUUAUCUCACCCAAAACCCAGAGGCCGUGCAUUUAUCCCUUCAUCAACGCCCGCAGCCCUUUACAGCCAUCGCCCUCCGGUGAGAUGCAUGGGAAAAGCAGUUGGCAGGAGUGGAGCUUUCUGAUUUCCCAAUAUAUCCUCUGUAUGUCCAAGUAAUACGCAUCUGCCAGCAAGCAACAGGAAUAAAGAAGGAUCAUUUCUUUUUUACAUGAAGAUCUUAUGCCAUGGCAGAUCCUUGGAGGUGGCUCAUCCCUGGAUUUCUCACCCCCCCUCCCAGAGAUGUAAAUAUUGCAGUGGGGAGGGUGCUGGGGGCCUGGGCUGCUCACACCCAGGCAGCCCCUGGCAACCAGUCCUGGGCUUAGACCUCCACCCUGAGUGAGUUCCUGUGCGACUAUGAGCAUGGUGGGGAGGGGCUGAUGGUUGGGCUUGAUGAUCUCAGUGGCGUUUUCCAUCCUAAUGAUCCUGUGAUUCUGUAUUUUGUUAAAAGGGUUAUUACCAGUUCCAUUGUAGCAGAGAGAGGAAGGGGAGAAGAAGGGAACUGGCCGUUUUUUUUUUUUUUCUUUUUCCCUUUGUUUCCUCUUGGUUCUGCUUUCCUGGAGAGCAUUAUUAAUAAUCCUUUGUCAGGGUGCCAGGGACCUGUCAUCCCGAAUGCAGCAUAAUUAAGUGGGCAGUAUCUGCAGAGGUGUACCGACAUUAAAACUGCUUAAAUGAGAGAAAGCCAGAGAGGAAAAUUUUGGAAGGGCACAGAGGAAUCUUAUUUUUUGAGUGUCUGAAAGGACAAAGGCCUUCAACGGUAAAUACCAGCCACAAGUUCUCUCAGGACAGAAUGUACUUUUUAAGUACUUUACUUUCUAUUGCAUCUACUGCUCAAUAUUUGUAAACCAACACCUUGAUAUUUUUUUGAGUACCAACUAUAAAUAAUAAAGGGGAAAAAACACAAGGCCACCAGAUUGGAGUUUGAUGAGGAGGAAAAAUGUAAUUAUACGGACAGCUUUGCUUGAUAAAUACAAUAUCAAGGUAACGGUUCUGUUUCUCAUUAAUACGACCUUUAACAUCAUCUGUCAAAUGAUAAACUAAUUAUUGAGCUGCCUUAGCUGAUGCAGCCCUUUAUUUUCUCUUGUUUUGAACUAGAUGUAUUUAAAUUUAGCAUGAAUAUAUAGGUACAAAUUAUCUGUGGUGUUUUUUUCAGGCAGGCCAAAAGAAUAGGGCACGAAUCAGACAGUGCAGAGGUAACAUUCUGUUCUCAAAAUCCUGGUAGACCAUUAGUAUUGAUUAGGUCGAGGUGACCUAUACCGAUACAAUCAGUCCUUACGAUCUCAAAUUCAAAAUAGCUAUAGUAAAUAAAAUUAAUAGAACCAAUUUGCUACUCCCAAGUAACAUCGUAGCACAGCUUGUUAUGGUUGGGUUCACACUGGAAAAUAAAUUAACGGCCAGCGAAACACAGUGGAAGUACAGAUAUGAUUUCCAGAGCAGUAUACAGCCUUUAAGUCCUUUCCUAGCGUGCAGUACACGAACCAGAUCAUCAGCUGAUGCAAAGUGACACUGUUCUACAAUAUUAAAGAGCUGUCACAGAUUUUUUUUUUCCCGGGAUAAAUUUUCGUCCUGGUUAAUCUAAGUGAAAAGUACUCUUACACUUUAUUGUUGGAAGCAGCCUGUCUUCCAGUCUUGGGAAACUUGCUGUCAUUUCCCCUCUGGUUUACACUUAUUUCCUCCAUUCUACCAGAUUUCAACACCUCUCCGACUGUUUAUUGGAUCUGGAAAGAUGUACACAGCUUGCCGAGCAACCAAUUACAUCCUCUAUAAAACGAAUAUGCUACUUAUGUCUAAUUAACUUCACUACAGCAUGUUCGACAUUGUGGGAGUGUAACCUGUCGGGUUCAGGGCAGAGCCGUGCCAGACUGAAGCUCUCCCAGAUGACUGCUACUGGGGAGUAAACAAAGAGGGUUGGCCGAGGUGAUGGUAAACAGGAUAUCUUAAUGCAUGCGCUGCUCGGGUAGACAAUGUGUUAGCUGUUGAAUGCUCGUUUUGCUUAUCUGCAGAACAUUGUAAUAGCCCUGGUAUUUUCGAAUACAUAAUGUUAGAAAAACAUAAAUUCAUUUUCGCCUCUAAGAAACUCAGAUAACAUUGAACCAAUGUUUAUUUUUGGGGACAGUCUGAAGACACUGAGAAAUGGUGACAGAAACUCAGCAAGAGAAAGCCAGAAGUGCUGAGCACGGGGCUGCUCUGUCAGCUCCACAUCUGUACAUAGGAGUCGAACACAGGAGGGUGAGCCUGUGUGAGGUCAGAUAAGUAAGGAACAAUGAGGGUAGUGCUGAGCCAACAACAACCAUAUGCAUUCAAAUACAACUUAGGGCUUAGGCUCAGAGCUCCGAUGCAGGGAAGAACCCAUCAUGGUGCCCAUCUUCCCUCUGGUUUUCGUCUGUAUUCUGCAGAGGAGGGGAAUUGGGAAGAGGCAGUCAAACUCCUCCUGCUCAAUGCUUUUGACAAUGUUUGUGCUUUAACUUAAGAUUACAACUUCCAUUUUUCUUGUAGGUCUUUCAAUUUUGUCUUUUCGUAUCAGAUUUGAAGAGACAGGCACUACAGACAAGCUGAUGUACGUCCACCCAGCACAAACAGGUACCUUGGUGGGCAAUCACAGGUCACACACACAGUUGUGGAGGCCUUUGUUCCAAGGCAUAAGAGUGUUCUGUCUGCUGGUUUGGGAAAGGUGCCUGGAAGGUGCCAUUUGGGGAAACUGAGAUACAUCAAUUUAGAUAAAGUAGAGAAGCUACUAUUUCAGAGAUGAAAAAUUAAAAAGAAAAAAAAAGCAGGUGGAUAUUUGGAGCAUAGAUUGUUAAUUAUAUACAGAAUGGAAGAAAGUUCUUAACGCUUUCUGCUUUAUCUGAUAUCAUAUCCUAUAAUCACAGAAAGAGAUGACAUCCAGAACUGCUGCUGGAGCCCAGAAUGGUGAUUAAUUCCAUAAGAGCAAGUUCAUUAACGUGUAGUAGGUCUCCUUCGCGGACAAAGUCUGUGACAUCAGAUUUUGUCCCAAAGUCGCUGUAAGCAGAGGAUCGUGGCAAACAUCUCCCAGUACAAAGGUUGCAGAGGACUAAAUAACAACACUGUGGUUUAGGCCACUGAUUGUGCUCACAGUGCACAGGGUACAAAUGAAGUUGAAGUGCUUUGGGCACAGUAAUUACCUCUUUUGUCUUUGGUGUGCUAGCACUAUGGACGUUUUCUAUUGCUGAAGUUCAUAAAUCAUUCACCAGGAGUGCAGCAUGGUGCUCCUUGCACAACAUAAUUAACAAGCUAAACCAUCACUGCAGCAAGCCCAGCCGCAGAGAAAGGUGUUUAAUUAAAAGUGGGAGUGCUUCCGAUGACUCCAAAUUGUUUCAGGUUCCAAUUUCAAGCUUUUAAAUACUGAAACAUCAAUUUGGACUUUAUAAACUGGAAACUGUUGUGAGGAGCAUGAAGCCCUGUAAUCCCAAGCUAGCGAUGAGAUCUCUGCUUGCACUUUUGCUGAAUGCCUCUGGUGCAGCUCCAUAAGGAGGGGCAGUGUUCAAGGCAGCUCUGCUAGUGCAGCUCAGUCUGGUGUACGACCGGUCCCACAUUUCCACUGUGUAAAGCUCUGUGUGACAAAUCAAGGCUCGUGUCUGAGAGUGGGACCAGCAGGGCCCAACAGGACGAGCAGCUCAGGGUUUAGGAGACGCGGUCUGACACGCACAGCCGUGUGCUGCCAGAUGUUCCAGCUGUGCUCUCUGCCAAAAGACUUUCAGCACUAAGAAAACAUUUUGCUUUUCUCAUUGCUUGUAGCAAGCAGUUCCGUACUGAACUGGAAGAGACUGAGUUUUACAUUGUACACAAAACCUUUUCCUCUUGAUCCUGAGCUUCCAGACUGCUAACAAGAAGCUCGAGGAAAGGCUCUUUCAUGAGCUGCACAUGCCCUGAGUGCUGCUCCUCCUCCUCCUCUCAUGGUGAAAGAGAAGCAGCCAGCGUCCCUGCUUCCACAGCUGCGAUUACUGAGAUUAGUGAUUCUGCACAUCAGUGGCCCGGUGAUGGUAAUCCAGAAGCACCUGUUGGGUGAUUCCAGUGCAUGUGCUUUCACACGGCUCCAGCACCCAGACGUGUGAAAUGCUGAAUGACUCUCGCAGCUGAAUCACCGCGUUUCUUCAGGUUUCCCAGGCGGAGCCAGCGCUGCCUCUCAAAUCCUUAUCAAUAUGCAAGCGAGAGCAAGGUCCAGUCUGGGCUGAAUGCCAGCGAGGCACUAUGCUUAAGUAAUUGUGUCAGUCCUCUGAGCAUCCACUGAACGUUUCAAGGAGAGUUGUUUAUGAAGUGUGAUCCCAGCAGAUCCUGCGCAAGAGCAAGAAGAUCAUCAAAUCAGCGUGUCCCUAGGCCAACUAUAACUUAUGAAGUACCACAAUCAGAUGGGAGUAUCCUUAAGUUGAGUUUUAUUCUAGGAAUUGUUAAGACUGAAUAAACACCUUUGUAUACAUCGUCUUUGGAAGUGCUGUCAACAGGGGACUGCAGCAGCUCACCGAGCUCACCCGGGGACCGAUUGGAAUUCCCCACUCGUAGCACUUGCAGGAUCAGUAUCAUCAUUGUUAACGGUCAUUGUGCGUGUGGCUCCAAAUGAAAACAGCUGCCACGUGUCGGAUCGCUCUGAGCCCGGCCGUCCCAGCGCCGUGCUCUCGCAGCGCCCAGCUGAGCGUGAGGACAUGGUGCACCAGCCCUGCCGCGUCAGUGGUGGGGAUGCACGCCGCAAUGAAGUGUCAAGCUGUUUCCACAGGCUGCUUGGAGGGCACAGCUUCAUUUCUUGCUAUGGAAACAGCACAGCCAAAGAUGUCAGCGUAAAUCUUCUAACUUCUAUGAGCAGAAUCACACUUCUGUGCGGCGUGAUGACAAUCUAUGAAAAGCACCUUCCGACGGAGAAUGAUUCCCUAGAAAUGGUUUUGCCCAGUGACACUGGAUCUCAAUUGUGAUGCAUCCUGUGCAGGCAAGGAAAGGUUUCUCCUUCUGGUGGAAUGGGAUGGUGCCAGUGCUGGGGAAGCGGUGGGAGCGAGGAGUGCUGCAGAAGGCAGCCAGGGUCGGGGCUGUCUGGCAUCCCUGUGCUCCAGCAGGCUGUACCUGGUGGAUGCACACAGUGUCAAUGCACAGAGCGUUCUUUCUCAAGUACUCGUCCCUUUUUCAUAAGACACCUUUGGAGAUGAAAGCCUGUGAAUCUUCCUUAGCCACGCUGGGGAGCACAGCCUUCAGAGGACAUCUAUAAUUUCUCUAAACCUGUGAUCAAAUGCCAAAUUAACAAGCUAGGAAGCUGUCAAAAAACCUUGCAGUGACCAUUUAUGAAGGCAGGUUUUCAAGGCAAUAUCAAGAGGCUUUGUGAUAUGUCCUGUCACUGCUGGAAGGGUGAUGCCACGGCACACUGGGCUCCUCAAAACCCACUGAAAAUCUACUCCUGAGAUGCAGCAAUUAAGCUGACUGACACACUGGGACUCAGCCCUCCCCUCUCAGCACAAACUGUGCUGGGGCAAUGCCUGCUGAGCCCAGCACAUGCCUUCUAGUGAAUGGAUCAGGCAGGGAAAGAAAACGUGCUGUGCCCGGGUUGCGUGAGCUCCCUUUCCACACUGUUGGGAGGGGUGGAUGGCUUUUAGCAGCUGCAGGAAUGCUGCACAGGGACCGGCCUGACCAGCCCCGAUGGGAUAAAUUAGUGCUUUAUGCCCUCUUGUCUGCUGAGUUUAUCUUUCUGUUGGUAAUGCACACACUGCUUUGGAGGAAAUUUAUCACACGCAGAGGAAGGACAAGAGGAUAAUCUUGGAAAAAGGCUUCAUCUGUGCUAGCAAAUUAGUAAGACUUUGGGUUAGAAAUUGACAGUAAAUGUGCUGCCUCCAAAUGCUGUCUAUAAGUAAACCGAACCUAUUAAAAUAAAUGGGCUAUAAGUCUGUUAAUAUAACGUGCAUUUGAGGAUCCCACACAGCCCUUAUGCAGGCACAGCUUUCAUUCUGUUCGUUCUUCUUCAGCAGUUCCUUCUCUUAAUCACCCCUCCUCGAGCUGCUGCAGAUUCAAUCCAGUUGUCACACAUCCCAUUAGCAUUAAUCGGGUCUCGGGCCAGAAAUGAACUUCAUCCUUAGACGGCAGUUCCGUGCUGGUUCAAUUUGCAAAUUAAGCAUUGCAGCAGAGCAACUGUGUGACUGCUGUCACUGCAUGCAGGGGGUAAAGUGAGCUGGAGGGAAGAGGACAGGGAAGGGGCUUUGAGCACACAGCGGUUAUUCUGCAAUAGCAGUCCCAGAAGUCGUGCAACCAGAUGCAGGUGAAUUUAUUUGCAAGAGCUUUUCUAAUGUGGAUUCAAGAGUAAAUCAACCCAUCGAGGAUGGAGUGGCCCCUAAUCCUCCGCUGCAGGCAGGAUUCUGGGGAGGGAAUAUGGGCUGCAAAGAGCCGUGGUGUUGUACUUAUCUCCCUAACAUGAAAGGAAGAUCCAUAAGUCACAGGCUACUAUAAUUAAGAAAAAGUUAAAAUAACCGGUUACUCCUCCUGGAAUUAGACUUGCUGCUUUUAAAAUUUCAUUAGAUGGGAAUCUAAGUCACAGAGAACGUAUACGUAAUCACAACUACACAGUUCAAAGAGCUCUCUCAAAAGUGGGAUGCCCAAAAGUGUGACCUACCUUUGCUUCCAUUUCAGAUUUCCAGGGAGUUAUUAAAAAUUAAAGAUGCCUUUAAGGAGCUUCCCAGAAAACUGUUUAAAUGUAGGACAUAGUGUACCAGCAGGUUACAAACAGAAGCAACUUUUAUGCAGUAUAUUGUGCUACAAAGCAAUUCUGUUCAAAGUAUCGAAAGUAUUUCAAUUAAGAAAAAUAAUGGUCAAGGACAAACAACGUUUUAGUAGGAGGAGAUUAGAUUAUUUCUAUGGUUACUGUGCGGAAGCUGCAGCUAGAAUUAAAGUUUUAAGAUCCACGUUACUUUUAAUAAAAAUUUGAAGCUAAUGACCAAUUUUUUCAUAGACCAAAAAACUCCUUUUAAAGGAUGGGAUGUAGAGGAGAGCUCAGGCCAUGAAGUGGCUUUACCUGUUUGAAGUCCCUUGCAUGUUUCAUUGCUUUUACAGAAAACGUGAUGAUGGUUUUGACAAUUCAGUGCUUAGAUCUUAAAACAUUUUGGUUUGAACCAUGCAGAGACCUGUAAGCAGUGAUAAUAUAAUGUUUUCUUUCCCUUCUUCAUUGAAGGUAUCACAACACAACCAACAGGGAUAGAAGUAUGUUAAUAUAUCAUCCCAGACUUCUAUGUUUGGAGUCUGAGGGUUUGCUGUGAGUUUGGAGGGACUGUGCUUGUUGGCUUUUUCUACUCAAUAGCUCUGACUCAGCAUCCCAUCAUCCCUCUCCAUCUCGCCAGUGCUUCAGGAACAAGGUGGCUUUCUUCCCUCUGGUCGUUGGUGAGGCAGCACAGCCAGUGGUGCCCAGAACUCUUACCAAGAGCCAUCAUCUGUGUGACAUUAAAAAUAAUCAAGGCUCUCAUUUUCUUUGUGAAGAAUGGAAAUCAGCUGAAGCGAAGUGGUUGCUCUUUUUGCUGAACAAGCAUGGGCAAAAGAUGCCGAAAAGAGCAACCAAGGACUGCUUCUCUCUGGUGCUUACACUGGCAGUGCCUGGGUUUGGUCUCACUCUGGUAGUGCCCAUCUCCAGCAGAGAUGGAGCUGUGCUGCUGCUCCCAGCUCCUUCCCUGCUCCUCUGCUCUGAGGGUGCUGCAAAGACUUCACCUCCAGCAGCAGCUUGUGCCUUGCGCAAUAACAAAAAUGAUACAGUACAGAAAUAGUACAGAAAUACAGUUACAGAAAAGGGAAGAUCAAUGAUGAAGUGGGAAAACCGGAAACCAAGUCUUCCAAUGAGGCCCACAUCAACAUUUGGUCAGUAAAGGUGAUGAUGCAAGGAUAAGAAUGUUCUUAUUUCUACUCAAAGAUUAUGAUGGUCAACAAUCAUUUCCAUUUCUGUUGGGACAGGAGCUGAGGUCAGAUGUCCCCUGCUCCAGCCUUGCAUUGGGACAUGGAGUACAGUUGCUGGCUGGUGGCAGUGCUGAGCUUGGCUUCCCCAGCCUGCCAGGUCCCCCUCCGCUUCCCCACCAAUCAGUUUUGGCAUUUCAUGCUCAAAUUCACUUAAUUACAAUGUCGCUUUCUUUUUACUGAGGUGCUGGAGAUUGUUAUUUUGGUUUGUUUUUUUUUCCACAAUUAAAAAUUAAAAAUGUUUUCUAGUAAUGAUCAUGACUGAUUUGCAGCUUAAUUGCACCAGGCGCCUUUGGAUGACUGCAGUUUGGUCAGCUGUUUGGAGAGGUGUACUGAGAUACCCUUGCUCUCUGAUGAGAUUACUUUUAUACAUUAGGUCUUAAUACCAAUUUGAUAUUUAGUGAAAUAUUAUCAGGAACGUGAAGCUGCAGUGGGAUGGAGACGGAGAGGCUGCAGGGCUGCUGUGGUUAAGAGAAGCCAAGGGCACAGCUGGCUCAGCCAUCCCCGAGGGCUGGCAGGUGACCUGAGCUCCAUCCAUCAGCUUUAGGGGCUGAGCUGUUGCUGCUGCACUCGUUCUCCAGCUUUUCAGUGGAAAUCUCAUGGUAGCAGAUUGCAAAGAGCUUGGCUCACACCAAACUUGCUGGACUUCUUUGGAUGGUUUGUUUAUUGUAGGUACUCAGACUUGUUAGGGAAAUUCAGUUUCAGUUACUAUUCAUUUUUCUCUCUUGUCCAUUGAGGAAAAUCAUUUGGGUAGUUCUGAGAUUUUUACUUACUACUCUUGUCGAACUGAAGUAAAAUACGCAGUAACAACAUAGAAAUAAUAAUGAAAAAAGGAUUAGAGCAGGAUUUUUUGAAGUUUUUGAUAAUGCACAUAAAGUGGUGAUUUUUGUCUUUAUUGCACUAGCCGCAUUUUCCUGACAGUACUUUCCUCCCUACUCUAGAUUUGAAUGGAAACAAAAAGCAGUGUCAUAAUCUCCACGCAAUUCUAUUACUAAAUUGUCAGAACACAGCCUUAUUUUUGGCCACAGUGAUUCAACUCCAUUUCCACCUCCACAUGGAUCAGCAGUGACCUUGACAUUCUUGGUCAAUGCUCAUGUAGAGAUUGCUUGGCAGGCACCGGUGCCAAGCUGUGGAAUAUAAUUUCCCGACAAUGUAUGGUAUCUGGGUGUGUAAUUGGCUUCUGGGCUGUCCCUGCACAGCUAUAUGGUCCUUUCCUGCUCCUCUCAGCAAGUAGUUUUUAAUGACCACCAAACCAUGAACCAUCUGUCUGUACAGAACUCCAGAACCACACAACUGUUGCUGGUUUUAUACAUUUAUAUGCUCCUCUC